rnacentral:rRNA from 1 species
GACGAACGCUGGCGGCGCGCUUAAUACAUGCAAGUCGAACGAGAAGCCAGAGCUUGCUCUGGUGGAAAGUGGCGAACGGGUGAGUAACACGUGAGAAACCUGCCCCAAAGAUUGGGAUAAGCCUUGGAAACGAGGUCUAAUACCAAAUACCUUCCUUUUAACACAUGUUAAAAAGAAGAAAUGCUCCGGCGCUUUGGGAUGGUCUCGCGAUCUAUCAGCUUGUUGGUGAGGUAACGGCUCACCAAGGCAUCGACGGAUAGCUGGUCUGAGAGGAUGUCCAGCCACAUUGGAACUGAGACACGGUCCAAACUCCUACGGGAGGCAGCAGUAGGGAAUCUUGCACAAUGAGGGAACCUUGAUGCAGCGACGCCGCGUGCGGGACGAAGGCCCUAGGUUGUAAACCGCUUUCAGUAGGGACGAAAGUGACGGUACCUACAGAAGAAGACCCGGCCAACUAUGUGCCAGCAGCCGCGGUAAU